rnacentral:lncRNA from 1 species
CCUGAUCCACAGAGACCAUGAGUUAAUAAAUGUUUGUUGUUUUAACGCAUUGUUUUAUGGUAAUUUGUUAUGCACCCACAGGUAACACCUGGUAAGUAGAAUGGAUGGAGAACAGGAAGAAAAGAAAAUCACCCUGAAGACAAAAGAAAACAGAAAAGGAAGACCAGAAAAGCGCGUGAUAAGGCUACCAGUAAUAUGUCAAGAAUCUGCACCCAGCAUUGCCUUUAUCUGACUGCCAACUCUGCAUCACCAUCACGUACCAGCCCUCUAUAACGGUCAGAUGGUAAGUAGAGGUGGGUGGGUAGGGGAUUGGGGGGGCUACUUUUUUAAGUAUGAAGAAGAAACAUAGAGGAAUAUAAGAAUAUCUUGCUUGAAACAUAAUCUCUAGGCCUGGGAGAAAUUGCCUUCAUCCUUCCUUCCUGUCCCCACAUCACCAAAGCUCCACCCUGCUCCUCCUUAGGGCAGGGAUAGAGCAUUAGAAGAAAGCAGGACAGUUUCCAGCUGUGCCACUCCUUUCUAGAGACAAAAGCAUUUGCUUUUUUUCUUCCUG